rnacentral:rRNA from 1 species
ACGAACGCUGGCGGCGUGCCUAAUACAUGCAAGUAGAACGCACAGUUUAUACCGUAGCUUGCUACACCAUAGACUGUGAGUUGCGAACGGGUGAGUAACGCGUAGGUAACCUGCCUGGUAGCGGGGGAUAACUAUUGGAAACGAUAGCUAAUACCGCAUAAUAUGAUUAUUGCAUGAUAAUUGAUUGAAAGAUGCUAUUGCAUCACUACCAGAUGGACCUGCGUUGUAUUAGCUAGUAGGUGAGGUAACGGCUCACCUAGGCGACGAUACAUAGCCGACCUGAGAGGGUGAUCGGCCACACUGGGACUGAGACACGGCCCAGACUCCUACGGGAGGCAGCAGUAGGGAAUCUUCGGCAAUGGACGAAAGUCUGACCGAGCAACGCCGCGUGAGUGAAGAAGGGUGUCGGAUCGUAAAGCUCUGUUGUAAGAGAAGAACGGGUGUGAGAGUGGAAAGUUCACACUGUGACGGUAUCUUACCAGAAAGGGACGGCUAACUACGUG